rnacentral:lncRNA from 1 species
GAGGGAUGUUACAUGAGAUUCCAUAAUAAUAAAUUAGAUGCAAUUUGAGCCUUCAGAGAGCAGUAUUGGCUAAGGUACUGCAAGCAUACCCAUACUCAAAAUGUGUAUCAUACCCGGAAAGACAAAGUGUGCCUUCUUAGAGUGAAAUUGAGAAAAUCAAAUGAAGAAUUCGCCUGCCUCUAAUUGGGCCGAUCUUUAAUAAGGGGAAGCGGGGCAACAUUGAUACCUUUGAAGCAGUCAGCAGAUUCUCACCAUCAUGUGAUCAAGGCCACACUAAUGUGCUGGAGGAUGAGAGACCACAAGAAAGAGAUCCAAGCUGUCUCAUCUGUCCCAGCCAAGGCCUUCCUAGACUUGCUGGUCCCCAGUCAAACUGCCUGCUGAUGACGGAUAAAUGAAAUGAGUAAGCUCAGCUGAGAUCAGUCAAGUCUGGCUCAGACAAGAAAAAAUGCCCAUUUGGUUCACAGACUGAUGAAUUAAAUAAAUAUGUAUUGUUGUAUGCUACUGAGGUUUUAUGAUUUUUUUGCUAUGCAGCAUUAUGAUGGCAAUAGAUAACCGCUACACCUCCUGACUAAAUUUAUUCACACAGAGUAGAUCUUAAUAUAUGACAGAUCAAGUAGUAAGUAAAUAAUUGAAUAAAUGAAUGAAUAAGUGAAA